rnacentral:rRNA from 1 species
UUGAUCCUGGCUCAGAGUGAACGCUGGCGGUAGGCCUAACACAUGCAAGUCGAACGGCAGCACAGAGGAGCUUGCUCCUUGGGUGGCGAGUGGCGGACGGGUGAGGAAUACAUCGGAAUCUACUCUGUCGUGGGGGAUAACGUAGGGAAACUUACGCUAAUACCGCAUACGACCUACGGGUGAAAGCAGGGGACCUUCGGGCCUUGCGCGAUUGAAUGAGCCGAUGUCGGAUUAGCUAGUUGGCGGGGUAAAGGCCCACCAAGGCGACGAUCCGUAGCUGGUCUGAGAGGAUGAUCAGCCACACUGGAACUGAGACACGGUCCAGACUCCUACGGGAGGCAGCAGUGGGGAAUAUUGGACAAUGGGCGCAAGCCUGAUCCAGCCAUACCGCGUGGGUGAAGAAGGCCUUCGGGUUGUAAAGCCCUUUUGUUGGGAAAGAAAUCCAGCUGGCUAAUACCCGGUUGGGAUGACGGUACCCAAAGAAUAAGCACCGGCUAACUUCGUGCCAGCAGCCGCGGUAAUACGAAGGGUGCAAGCGUUACUCGGAAUUACUGGGCGUAAAGCGUGCGUA